rnacentral:rRNA from 1 species
GCUUGCUCCCUGAUGUUAGCGGCGGACGGGUGAGUAACACGUGGGUACCUGCCUGUAAGACUGGGAUCUCCGGGAAACCGGGGCUAAUACCGGAUGCUUGUUUGAACCGCAUGGUUAAACAUAAAAGGUGGCUUGCUACCACUUACAGAUGGACCCGCGGCGCAUUAGCUAGUUGGUGAGGUAACGGCUCACAAGGCAACGGCGUAGCCGACCUGAGAGGGUGAUCGGCCACACUGGGACUGAGACACGGCCCAGACUCCACGGGAGGGCAGUAGGGAAUCUUCCGCAAUGACGAAAGUCUGACGGAGCAACGCCGCGUGAGUGAUGAAGGUUUUGAUCGUAAAGCUCUUUGUUAGGGAAGAACAAGUACCGUUCGAAUAGGGCGGUACCUUGACGGUACCUCCAGAAAGCCACGGCUAACUACGUGCCAGCAGCCGCGGUAAUACGUAGGUGGCAAGCGUUGUCGGAAAUUGGGCGUAAAGGGCUCGCAGGCGGUUUCUUAAGUCUGAUGUGAAAGCCCCCGGCUCACCGGGGAGUCAUUGGAAACUGGGGAACUUGAGUGCAGAAGAGAGAGUGGAAUUCCACGUGUAGCGGUGAAAUGCGGAGAUGUGGAGGAACACCAGUGGCGAAGGCGACUCUCUGGUCUGUAACUGACGCUGAGGAGCGAAACGGGGAGCGAACAGGAUUAGAUACCCUGGUAGUCCACGCCGUAACGAUGAGUGCUAAGUGUUAGGGGGUCCGCCCCUUAGUGCUGCAGCUAACGCAUUAAGCACUCCGCCUGGGGGAGUACGUCGCAAGACUGAAUCAAAGGAAUUGACGGGGGCCCGCACAGCGGUGGAGCUGUGGUUUAAUUUCGAGCAACGCGGAAGAA